AAGUCCAUGGUGUGGGCAUUUUCUCAAAAGAUCUUUAAAUCUCUCAUAAGCUUCAUACAAUGAUUCCAUGUCUGACUGUUGGAAAUUCUGAAUCUCUCUAAUCAAUCU